rnacentral:miRNA from 1 species
AUACAAAUCACCUGGGAGCUUAUUUAAAUGCUGAUUCUAAUCCAAUGAGAUACUGCAUUUCAAACAAGGUUGCAGGUGAUGAAUAU